CCUACGGGAGGCAGCAGUGGGGGAUAUUGCACAAUGGGGGAAACCCUGAUGCAGCGACGCCGCGUGAGUGAAGAAGUAUUUCGGUAUGUAAAGCUCUAUCAGCAGGGAAGAAAAUGACAGUACCUGACCAAGAAGCCCCGGCUAACUACGUGCCAGCAGCCGCGGUAAUACGUAGGGGGCAAGCGUUAUCCGGAUUUACUGGGUGUAAAGGGAGGGUAGACGGUUAUGUAAGUCUGGUGUGAAAGCACGGGGCCCAACCCCGGGACUGCGUGGGAAACUGUGUGACUGGAGUGAAGGAGGGGCAGGCGGAAGUGCGGGUGUAGAGGUGAAAUGCGUAGAUAUCAGGAGG
rnacentral:rRNA from 1 species